CAGUUUCUUACAGGAACAUAUAUUUUGACAUUAUGUUGUCUUUUGCAGAAUCUCAAUAACCAGUACAACUGACAUAGACCCAAGAGUCAUUAAAAGCAAAUAUUCAGCACAUUGCUAAAGAAAAAAAGGCCAGGAACCAAUUAUUCUUUUCUGCUACAGUUAUAUUACUGUCUGAUGAUGCAAACUGGAUGUUGUGCAAUUCUCAGCACAUUUUUCAGGAACAAAGAAGAAGGAUGUCCAGUGAAUGAAUCAGGAGUACUCUGCCAGGUUCUGUGGAAAUGGUAUUCCACUACAACAGGUACCCUGACAGGGGAAGACUGASCUGGCUUCAGAUUAGCAAAGACAGCUGUGCAUGGUUCCCUUUAAAGAGUACCUGAUGGAUGAUAUGCAUGGUCUGAAGGCCUUCGUUUCUCAUUGCAUGGAAGUACAAAGCAGCAGUUUCCAAGCAGAUGAAGGAAUGCCAUGGGGAGUAGACUGUACAGACUUAGUUUUUGAGGGAGAAGGUCUUGGCGCAACUGAAAGGACGUGUCAUCAUUCUCCUUGCCAGCAGCCCAGGGAAAAGAUUUACAAGAAAAAGAAACCAGGUAUCUACAAGUGCAAUAUGUUACAGACAGUAAUAACCUUCAAAGGAAAAGCAAGGAAUAAGACUGCUUUAAAGGAAAUGAUCCUCUGCAAUUUCUUCUACAUUUCUUUUUAAAUCUUUUUUUUCUUAAGUUAGAAUUUCAUUUGCAAAAAUUCCCACAAGAGUAAAGCAUUUUUGUCUUCUCACCUAGCUUCUAGGCUGUGAAAUUUAAAAUAAAUAAACCAAAUCAUAAGGUUUAUCUCA
rnacentral:lncRNA from 1 species